rnacentral:rRNA from 1 species
AUUGAACGCUGGCGGCAUGCUUUACACAUGCAAGUCGAACGGGGUGAGGGGGCAACUCUUCAUUCAGUGGCGAACGGGUGAGUAAUGCAUCGGAACGUACCCCGGAGUGGGGGAUAACGCCGCGAAAGCGGCGCUAAUACCGCAUAUGCUCUGAGGAGGAAAGUGGGGGACCUGCGAGGGCCUCACGCUCUGGGAGCGGCCGAUGUCCGAUUAGCUAGUUGGUGGGGUAAUGGCCCACCAAGGCGACGAUCGGUAGCUGGUCUGAGAGGAUGAUCAGCCACACUGGGACUGAGACACGGCCCAGACUCCUACGGGAGGCAGCAGUGGGGAAUUUUGGACAAUGGGGGCAACCCUGAUCCAGCCAUGCCGCGUGCGGGAAGAAGGCCUUCGGGUUGUAAACCGCUUUUAGCCGGGAAGAAAAGGCAUCUCCUAAUACGGGGUGUUCUUGACGGUACCGGCGGAAUAAGCACCGGCUAACUACGUGCCAGCCGCCGCCGUAACAC